AUUGAACGCUGGCGGCAGGCCUAACACAUGCAAGUCGAGCGAGCGGCGGACGGGUGAGUAAUGUCUGGGGAUCUGCCCGAUAGCGGGGGAUAACUACUGGAAACGGUGGCUAAUACCGCAUACUAUCCGAUGAGCCCAUAUGGGAUUAGCUAGUAGGUGGGGUAAAGGCUCACCUAGGCGACGAUCUCUAGCUGGUCUGAGAGGAUGAUCGGCCACACUGGAACUGAGACACGGCCCAGACGCCUACGGUAGGCAGCAGGGGGGAAUAUUGCACAAUGGGCGCAAGCCUGAUGCAGCCAUGCGGCGUGUGUGAAGAAGGCCUGAGGGUUGUAAAGUACUUUCAGCGGGGAGGCGUUACCCGCAGAAGAAGCACCGGCUAACUCCGUGCCAGCAGCCGCGGUAAUAC
rnacentral:rRNA from 1 species